rnacentral:rRNA from 1 species
CUACGGGAUGCUGCAGUUAGGAAUAAUCUACAAUGCGCGCAAGCGUGAUAGUUUGAGCCAGAGUGUUUUUCAAAUGAAAGACUUUUGCCAAGUGUAAAAAGCCUGGCGAAUAAGGACUGGGUAAGACGAGUGCCAGCCGCCGCGGUAAUACUCGCGGUCCAAGUCGCAGCCAUUUUUAUUGGGUCUAAAACAUCCGUAGCUUGCUUGGUAAGUUUCUUGUGAAAUUUUGUAUCUCAAGUGCAAAGCGCGCAAGAAGUACUGUCAAGCUAGAGACUGGAAGACGUAAAGAGUACGUUCGGAGUAGCGGUAAAAUGUGUUAAUCCUGGACGGACUAACAAGAGCGAAGGCACUUUACGAGGACAGUUCUGACAGUAAGGGAUGAAGGCCAGGGGCGCAAAACGGAUUAGAUACCCGAGUAGUC